GGACCCGCACAAGUAGUGGAGCAUGUGGUUUAAUUCGAAGAUACGCGCAGAACCUUACCAACACUUGACAUGUUCGUCGCGACUCUAAGAGAUUAGAGUUUUCGGUUCGGCCGGACGAAACACAGGUGCUGCAUGGCUGUCGUCAGCUCGUGUCGUGAGAUGUUGGGUUAAGUCCCGCAACGAGCGCAACCCUCACUUUUAGUUGCCAUCAUUAAGUUGGGCACUCUGAAAGAACUGCCAGUGAUAAGCUGGAGGAAGGUGGGGAUGACGUCAAGUCCUCAUGGCCCUUACGUGUUGGGCUACACACGUGCUACAAUGGCAGUUACAGAGGGGAGCGAAGACGCGAGUCGGAGCGAAUCUCAGAAAGGCUGUCUCAGUUCGGAUUGGAGUCUGCAACUCGACUCCAUG
rnacentral:rRNA from 1 species